GAUGAACGCUCGCGGCAGGCCUAAUACAUGCAAGUCGAACGGGAUCCAGAUCAAAGCUUGCUUUGGUCUGGUGAGAGUGGCGCACGGGUGCGUAACGCGUGAGCAACCUACCCUUGUCAGGGGGAUAGCCCGGCGAAAGUCGGAUUAAUACCGCAUGACAUCAUUGAGAGGCAUCUUUCGAUGAUCAAAGAUUUAUCGGACAAGGAUGGGCUCGCGUGACAUUAGCUAGUUGGUAAGGUAACGGCUUACCAAGGCUGCGAUGUCUAGGGGCUCUGAGAGGAGAAUCCCCCACACUGGUACUGAGACACGGACCAGACUCCUACGGGAGGCAGCAGUAAGGAAUAUUGGUCAAUGGACGGAAGUCUGAACCAGCCAUGCCGCGUGCAGGAGGACGGCCCUAUGGGUUGUAAACUGCUUUUAUACGGGAACAAACGUCGGUACGUGUACCGGUCUGAGUGUACCGGAAGAAUAAGGAUCGGCUAACUCCGUG
rnacentral:rRNA from 1 species